GAGGAAAGCAGGGGAUCGCAAGACCUUGCGCUUUUGGAGCGGCCGAUGUCUGAUUAGCUAGUUGGUGAGGUAAAGGCUUACCAAGGCGUCGAUCAGUAGCUGGUCUGAGAGGACGACCAGCCACACUGGGACUGAGACACGGCCCAGACUCCUACGGGAGGCAGCAGUGGGGAAUUUUGGACAAUGGGGGAAACCCUGAUCCAGCCAUGCCGCGUGAGUGAAGAAGGCCUUCGGGUUGUAAAGCUCUUUCAGCCGGAACGAAACGGUCACGGUUAAUACCCGUGACUACUGACGGUACCGGAAGAAGAAGCACCGGCUAACUACGUGCCAGCAGCCGCGGUAAUACGUAGGGUGCAAGCGUUAAUCGGAAUUACUGGGCGUAAAGCGUGCGCAGGCGGUUUUGUAAGUCAGAUGUGAAAUCCCCGGGCU
rnacentral:rRNA from 1 species